GUGACCUGCGGAAGGAUCAUUAUUGAAAUAAACCUGAUGGGUUGUUGCUGGUUCUCUAGGGAGCAUGUGCACGCCUUGUCAUCUUUAUAUCUCCACCUGUGCACCUUUUGUAGACCUUUCAGGUCUAUGUUGCUUCAUCUACCCCAAUGUAUGUUAAUAGAAUGUUGUGCCCAUAAUAAAAUAUAUACAACUUUCAGCAACGGAUCUCUUGGCUCUCGCAUCGAUGAAGAACGCAGCGAAAUGCGAUAAGUAAUGUGAAUUGCAGAAUUCAGUGAAUCAUCGAAUCUUUGAACGCACCUUGCGCUCCUUGGUAUUCCGAGGAGCAUGCCUGUUUGAGUGUCAUUAAUAUAUCAAUCCUCUCUUCUUGAGUGGUUUUGGAUGUGGGGGGUUUGCUGGUCUCUUUAAAGGGUUCAGCUCCUCUGAAAUGCAUUAGCAGAACAACCUGUUUCAUUGGUGUGAUAACUAUCUAUGCUAUUGAAAUGUGAGGGGCAAGUUCAGCUUUCUAACUGUCCAUGGACAAAAUUUAUCAUGAAUGUGACCUCAAAUCAGGUAGGACUACCCGCUGAACUUAAGCAUAUCAAUAAGCGGAGGAAAAGAAACUAACAAGGAUUCCCCUAGUAACUGCGAGUGAAGCGGGAAAAGCUCAAAUUUAAAAUCUGGCAGUCACCUGGCUGUCCGAGUUGUAAUCUAGAGAAGUGUUAUCCGCGCUGGACCGU
rnacentral:rRNA from 1 species